AUGCUCAGGAUUGGAUUUAUAUGACUGAUCAGUUUCCUCUGCUGUUAUCGAAAGCAGAUAUCAAAUGGCUGUGGAGGAAUGCAGGUGAUUGGAGUUGGUCCAAAGGGAAGUUGUGAGUUCUGGGAGGCAGAAGGAAAGCAGCUGCCAUGUUCUGAAGGUUAUCAGCACCUGUUGGUGAUAGAAACAGACACAGAGGUGUUAGCAGGUUCCUGUUUGUCCUCGCACCCCCCUCCCUCCUGAUGGUGACCUUGUCCCAGGUCUUCUACCAGGCCUUCUACCAGAUGCUUUGCUGAGAAUUCACAGAGGCCGUAGACCUGAAGAACCAACAACCUUCCAUAGGCUUUGAGGUCCCACUCCGGCAGCAGGACGUGCUGGCUCCCAGGAAUCACUCCCCUUGACUGGGCAAACUUCAAACAAGUGACUGAGCUCCCUUAGCUGCCACUGAUUGGACCAGGAUGGACAACAAAUGUAGGAGGAGUUCAUCUGGAUCUAGCCUGAGCCAGUCAGAUAUCCCCUUUGAAUCCAUGCCUAUAGAAAUACAAAAAAAUGGAAGCCAGAGGAUGAUGGAUCCUUGAAGUAAUAAGUCAGGUAGAUCUUGAAAAUUUUUGACUCAAUCCAUAUUGAUGAACACAAGAAUAAUUCUGGUCUACAAAGAGAGGCAAGAGAAAGACUUGGGGUGUAUUAAGAAAAACAGCUCUGUGGAAGUUUGAGUGACUCAUUGCAGAGAGGAAUUGAUGAAGUCAACAGCUGCUGGAAAAACUUCUUUUUCCUUAAUAGCUGUAUCAACAUGUGGUUGCUAUUAUUCAAAGUGGAUGAAAUAAUUCUGCAAGCCAGUGGGAACAGGAAGCUUCAUGAAGAGGAGAAAGGCUUAGGGCUCAGAAACCGCACAGAGCAGGAGGAUAGAUGAAUGUAAGGAACAGAGCUUUGAGGACAGACACCCCUGGAUUAGACAAUAGCUCCAAAACUUAUUAAUGAUGGUGAAUGGGUGACUUUCUAAAACCCUUUAAACCUUAUUUGUAAAAUGGGACCAUCAAUAUCUAUUUUGAAAUCUUGUAUAAAUUUGCAAUAAUGUCUGUAAAGUAUCUGACAGGAGCUCAGAAAUGACACAAUUCUUUAAAUCCACUCACACCCAACUUUUAAACAAAAAGUAGCAGUAUAUCCUACACACGAUUUUUAAAUUUUACUAUUUAAGUUAACAUCAUGCUAUGAACAUAUUUCCAUGUCAUUAAAUAUUCUAUUCCAUCCAAUAUUUAAAAGCUAAUAGAAGUCUGUUAAAUGCAUAUGCCAUAAUUUAUUUAACCAAUUCGGUUGUUUUAAUAUUUAUGUUGUUUCCAAUAUAUUAUGCUAUUGACAAUAAAAUGAUGAACAUUUAUGAUGAUGAA